AACUGUCACAGAUUAAUAUGCAAAAUGUAUCCUGCAACUGUUGGCCUAUUAUAAAAGGGUAUAUAGUGAGGAAUUAAUGAAACUAUAACUUAACCAUAGCCAAGUAACUGAUGAAAUGCGCAGAGCUGAAAACGAUUAAUAUAAAAUUGUAAAUACUCAUGUUUUUACUGAGUUUAUACUCGGCAUAUUUUAACUGUGAAAUUUACGAAUUUUCGUGCCUUUUAGUAAUAUUUUAUAAUAAACAUAAUAUCUGUAAUAGUAAAUAGAAUUCAAUAAUUAUUGUAGUCGAUUGUUUUUGCAUUGCUUCACAUUACAUUUUUAAUAUAAUAAAUUGAUAAUACACAGA